ACAUGCAGUCGAGCGGACAGAAGGGAGCUUGCUCCCGGAUGUUAGCGGCGGACGGGUGAGUAACACGUGGGUAACCUGCCUGUAAGACUGGGAUAACUCCGGGAAACCGGAGCUAAUACCGGAUAGUUCCUUGAACCGCAUGGUUCAAGGAUGAAAGACGGUUUCGGCUGUCACUUACAGAUGGACCCGCGGCGCAUUAGCUAGUUGGUGGGGUAAUGGCUCACCAAGGCGACGAUGCGUAGCCGACCUGAGAGGGUGAUCGGCCACACUGGGACUGAGACACGGCCCAGACUCCUACGGGAGGCAGCAGUAGGGAAUCUUCCGCAAUGGACGAAAGUCUGACGGAGCAACGCCGCGUGAGUGAUGAAGGUUUUCGGAUCGUAAAGCUCUGUUGUUAGGGAAGAACAAGUGCGAGAGUAACUGCUCGCACCUUGACGGUACCUAACCAGAAAGCCACGGCUAACUACGUGCCAGCAGCCGCGGUAAUACGUAGGUGGCAAGCGUUGUCCGGAAUUAUUGGGCGUAAAGGGCUCGCAGGCGGUUUCUUAAGUCUGAUGUGAAAGCCCCCGGCUCAACCGGGGAGGGUCAUUGGAAACUGGGAAACUUGAGUGCAGAAGAGGAGAGUGGAAUUCCACGUGUAGCGGUGAAAUGCGUAGAGAUGUGGAGGAACACCAGUGGCGAAGGCGACUCUCUGGUCUGUAACUGACGCUGAGGAGCGAAAGCGUGGGGAGCGAACAGGAUUAGAUACCCUGGUAGUCCACGCCGUAAACGAUGAGUGCUAAGUGUUAGGGGGUUUCCGCCCCUUAGUGCUGCAGCUAACGCAUUAAGCACUCCGCCUGGGGAGUACGGUCGCAAGACUGAAACUCAAAGGAAUUGACGGGGGCCCGCACAAGCGGUGGAGCAUGUGGUUUAAUUCGAAGCAACGCGAAGAACCUUACCAGGUCUUGACAUCCUCUGACAACCCUAGAGAUAGGGCUUUCCCUUCGGGGACAGAGUGACAGGUGGUGCAUGGUUGUCGUCAGCUCCUGUCCUGAGAAGUUGGGGUUAAGUCCCGCAACGAGCGCAACCCUUGAUCUUAGUUGCCAGCAUUCAGUUGGGCACCCUAAGGGGACUGCCGGUGACAAACC
rnacentral:rRNA from 1 species